UACAGAGGGUGCAAGCGUUAAUCGGAAUUACUGGGCGUAAAGCGUGCGUAGACGGUCAUGUAAGUCGGGUGUGAAAGCCCCGGGCUCAACCUGGGAACUGCAUUUGUGACUGCAUCGCUGGAGUGCGGCAGAGGGGGAUGGAAUUCCGCGUGUAGCAGUGAAAUGCGUAGAGAUGUGGAGGAACACCGAUGGCGAAGGCAGCCCCCUGGGUCAAGAUUGACGCUCAUGCACGAAAGCGUGGGGAGCAAACAGG
rnacentral:rRNA from 1 species